GGAUGCUAGUAAGCACACAACUGAGCAUAUGAGGAUGCUGGAACUCUGAUGCUGGACUACUUCUUUUGUCCUCUAACUACAGCCUUCCCUGCGAGCUUUAGAGGGAAAGUCAUCUGUGAGUCCUGCAGGCUGACCUGACAAUCAGAAUGUCCUCACUGGUGCAAAGGUCGACUACCACACCCUUCUGUGGCAGUAGAAAGAACACAAAAACCAGAGGAUGGAGAGGAACAGUGUGUGACACGCAAUGUUGAAUGUGUGACCUUGCAGCAUCUGUGGCUGAUGCAUCAACCUUCCACAGUGGAUGAAAAAGAGGCUUAUGAGGUCUCUCUUCUCCACGAGGAACUGUGGACAGGAUGGCAGCCAUGAGGAAGACAAACAACAGAUGCCAGUGAGAGGAGACGGAAAGGAAACUCUCAAACAUCAUGGACCUGGACAGUGAUGGAGGAAUAGGCCUGGUGAAUGGGACUCUAAUGACUGUAUAUAAGAAAUACUUGACCCAAUUAUAAUGAAACGUUACUACAGUUUAAUCUAAUGGGAUAUGAUUGUCAAUGUGCACUCGUGGGUAGAAGGUAAGGCUUUUUUUCAUGUACACAAAUAGAAUGGAUUCUAU
rnacentral:lncRNA from 1 species